rnacentral:rRNA from 1 species
GACGAACGCUGGCGGCGUGCUUAACACAUGCAAGUCGAACGGAAAGGCCCUGCUUUUGUGGGGUGCUCGAGUGGCGAACGGGUGAGUAACACGUGAGUAACCUGCCCCUGACUUUGGGAUAACUUCAGGCAACUGGGGCUAAUACCGGAUAGGAGCUCCUGCUGCAUGGUGGGGGUUGGAAAGUUUCGGCGGUUGGGGAUGGACUCGCGGCUUAUCAGCUUGUUGGUGGGGUAGUGGCUUACCAAGGCUUUGACGGGUAGCCUGCCUGGUCGGGUGACCUGCCACAUUGGGACUGGGAUACGGCCCAGACUCCAACGGGACGCAGCGGUGCGGAAUAUUGCACAAUGGGCGGAAGCCUGACGCGGCAACGCCGCGUGCGGGAUGACGGCCCUCGGGUUGUAAACCGCUUUCGCCUGUGACGAGGCGUUAGUGACGGUAAUGGGUAAAGAAGCACCGGCUAACUACGUG